UACGUAGGGUGCGAGCGUUGUCCGGAAUUAUUGGGCGUAAAGAGCUUGUAGGCGGUUUGUCGCGUCUGCUGUGAAAAUCCGAGGCUCAACCUCGGACUUGCAGUGGGUACGGGCAGACUAGAGUGUGGUAGGGGAGACUGGAAUUCCUGGUGUAGCGGUGAAAUGCGCAGAUAUCAGGAGGAACACCGGUGGCGAAGGCGGGUCUCUGGGCCAAAACUGACGCUGAGGAGCGAAAGCGUGGGGAGCGAACAGG
rnacentral:rRNA from 1 species